rnacentral:rRNA from 1 species
UUGUCCUACGGGAGGCAGCAGUGAGGAAUAUUGGUCAAUGGGCUUACGCCUGAACCAGCCAAGUCGCGUGAGGGAAGACUGCCCUAUGGAUUGUAAACCUCUUUUGUCAGGGAGCAAAGGGCGCCACGUGUGGCGUUUUGCGAGUACCUGAAGAAAAAGCAUCGGCUAACUCCGUGCCAGCAGCCGCGGUAAUACGGAGGAUGCGAGCGUUAUCCGGAUUUAUUGGGUUUAAAGGGUGCGCAGGCGGAAUGUCAAGUCAGCGGUAAAAUUUCGGGGCUCAACCCCGUCGUGCCGUUGAAACUGGC